UCCUACGGGGGGCAGCAGUGGGGAAUUUUGGACAAUGGGCGCAAGCCUGAUCCAGCCAUGCCGCGUGCGGGAAGAAGGCCUUCGGGUUGUAAACCGCUUUUGUCAGGGAAGAAAUCCCUUGGGCUAAUACCCCGGGGGGAUGACGGUACCUGAAGAAUAAGCACCGGCUAACUACGUGCCAGCAGCCGCGGUAAUACGUAGGGUGCAAGCGUUAAUCGGAAUUACUGGGCGUAAAGCGUGCGCAGGCGGUCGUGCAAGACAGAUGUGAAAUCCCCGGGCUUAACCUGGGAACUGCAUUUGUGACUGCACGGCUGGAGUGCGGCAGAGGGGGAUGGAAUUCCGCGUGUAGCAGUGAAAUGCGUAGAUAUGCGGAGGAACACCGAUGGCGAAGGCAAUCCCCUGGGCCUGCACUGACGCUCAUGCACGAAAGCGUGGGGAGCAAACAGGAUUAGAUACCCGGGUAGUC
rnacentral:rRNA from 1 species